UACGUAGGGAGCAAGCGUUGUCCGGAAUCAUUGGGCGUAAAGCGCGCGUAGGCGGCCCUGUAAGUCCGUUGUGAAAGUCAAAGGCUCAACCUUUGAAAGCCGAUGGAUACUGCAGGGCUAGAGUCCGGAAGAGGCGAGUGGAAUUCCUGGUGUAGCGGUGGAAUGCGCAGAUAUCAGGAGGAACACCAAUAGCGAAGGCAGCUCGCUGGGACGGUACUGACGCUAAGGCGCGAAAGCGUGGGGAGCGAACAGG
rnacentral:rRNA from 5 species